rnacentral:rRNA from 1 species
UACGGGGGGGGCAAGCGUUGUUCGGAAUUACUGGGCGUAAAGCGCGCGUAGGCGGCUUUGUAAGUUAGAGGUGAAAGCCCGGGGCUCAACCCCGGAACUGCCCUUAAGACUGCAUCGCUUGAAUCCGGGAGAGGUGAGUGGAAUUCCGAGUGUAGAGGUGAAAUUCGUAGAUAUUGGGAAGAACACCAGUGGCGAAGGCGGCUAACUGGUCCAGCACUGACGCUGAGGUGCGAAAGCGUGGGGAGCAAACAGG